GACGAACGCUGGCGGCGUGCCUAAUACAUGCAAGUAGAACGCACAGUUUAUACCGUAGCUUGCUACACCAUAGACUGUGAGUUGCGAACGGGUGAGUAACGCGUAGGUAACCUGCCUGGUAGCGGGGGAUAACUAUUGGAAACGAUAGCUAAUACCGCAUAAUAUUGAUUAUUGCAUGAUAAUUAAUUGAAAGGUGCAAUUGCACCACUACCAGAUGGACCUGCGUUGUAUUAGCUAGUAGGUGAGGUAACGGCUCACCUAGGCGACGAUACAUAGCCGACCUGAGAGGGUGAUCGGCCACACUGGGACUGAGACACGGCCCAGACUCCUACGGGAGGCAGCAGUAGGAAAUCUUCGGCAAUGGACGAAAGUCUGACCGAGCAACGCCGCGUGAGUGAAGAAGGUUUUCGGAUCGUAAAGCUCUGUUGUAAGAGAAGAACGGGUGUGAGAGUGGAAAGUUCACACUGUGACGGUAUCUUACCAGAAAGGGACGGCUAACUACGUG
rnacentral:rRNA from 1 species